GCUGGUUUGGCUCAGUGGAUAGAACAUUCGACCAUGGACUGAAGGGUCCUGGGUUCAAUUCCAGUCAAGGGCA